rnacentral:rRNA from 1 species
CUCCUACGGGAGGCAGCAGUGGGGAAUAUUGCACAAUGGGGGAAACCCUGAUGCAGCCAUGCCGCGUGUGUGAAGAAGGCCUUCGGGUUGUAAAGCACUUUCAGUAGGGAGGAAGGUAGUGUAGUUAACACCUGCACUAUUUGACGUUACCUACAGAAGAAGCACCGGCUAACUCCGUGCCAGCAGCCGCGGUAAUACGGAGGGUGCGAGCGUUAAUCGGAAUUACUGGGCGUAAAGCGCAUGCAGGCGGCCUGUUAAGUCAGAUGUGAAAGCCCCGGGGCUUAACCUCGGAAUUGCAUUUGAAACUGGCAGGCUAGAGUCUUGUAGAGGGGGUAGAAUUUCAGGUGUAGCGGUGAAAUGCGUAGAGAUCUGAAGGAAUACCAGUGGCGAAGGCGGCCCCCUGGACAAAGACUGACGCUCAGAUGCGAAAGCGUGGGGAGCCAAACAGGAUUAGAUACCCCUGGUAG